rnacentral:rRNA from 1 species
UACGUAGGGUGCGAGCGUUGUCCGGAAUUAUUGGGCGUAAAGGGCUCGUAGGCGGUUUGUCACGUCAGGAGUGAAGACUCGGGGCUCAACCCCGAGCCUGCUUCUGAUACGGGCAGACUAGAGGUAUGCAGGGGAGACUGGAAUUCCUGGUGUAGCGGUGAAAUGCGCAGAUAUCAGGAGGAACACCGGUGGCGAAGGCGGGUCUCUGGGCCGAAACUGACGCUGAGGAGCGAAAGCGUGGGGAGCAAACAGG